AUACUCGAGUUUCUCCUCAAAUCGUAUAAAUCUUUCGCCUUUUACUAAAGAUUUCCGUGGAGAGAAACAAUUGAGCUUUAAGCAAAUUUUUUGAAGCCUUGUUUGAACAAGGCA
ensembl:snRNA U5 U5 spliceosomal RNA